rnacentral:rRNA from 1 species
AUUGAACGCUGGCGGCAUGCCUUACACAUGCAAGUCGAACGGCAGCGCGGGAGCACUCCUGGCGGCUAGUGGCGAACGGGUGAGUAAUACAUCGGAACGUGCCCAAUCGUGGGGGAUAACGCAGCGAAAGCUGUGCUAAUACCGCAUACGAUCUACGGAUGAAAGCCGGGGAUCGCAAGACAUUGCGCGAAUGGAGCGGCCGAUGGCAGAUUACGUAGUUGGUGAGGUAAAGGCUCACCAAGCCUUCGAUCUGUAGCUGGUCUGAGAGGACGACCAGCCACACUGGGACUGAGACACGGCCCAGACUCCUACGGGAGGCAGCAGUGGGGAAUUUUGGACAAUGGGCGAAAGCCUGAUCCAGCCAUGCCGCGUGCAGGAUGAAGGCCUUCGGGUUGUAAACUGCUUUUGUACGGAACGAAACGGUCUUUUCUAAUAAAGAAGGCUAAUGACGGUACCGUAAGAAUAAGCACCGGCUAACUACGUG